rnacentral:rRNA from 1 species
GGAACGAGUUAUCUGAACCUUCGGGGAACGAUAACGGCGUCGAGCGGCGGACGGGUGAGUAAUGCCUAGGAAAUUGCCCUGAUGUGGGGGAUAACCAUUGGAAACGAUGGCUAAUACCGCAUGAUGCCUACGGGCCAAAGAGGGGGACCUUCGGGCCUCUCGCGUCAGGAUAUGCCUAGGUGGGAUUAGCUAGUUGGUGAGGUAAGGGCUCACCAAGGCGACGAUCCCUAGCUGGUCUGAGAGGAUGAUCAGCCACACUGGAACUGAGACACGGUCCAGACUCCUACGGGAGGCAGCAGUGGGGAAUAUUGCACAAUGGGCGCAAGCCUGAUGCAGCCAUGCCGCGUGUGUGAAGAAGGCCUUCGGGUUGUAAAGCACUUUCAGUCGUGAGGAAGGUAGUGUAGUUAAUAGCUGCAUUAUUUGACGUUAGCGACAGAAGAAGCACCGGCUAACUCCGUGCCAGCAGCCGCGGUAAUACGGAGGGUGCGAGCGUUAAUCGGAAUUACUGGGCGUAAAGCGCAUGCAGGUGGUUUGUUAAGUCAGAUGUGAAAGCCCGGGGCUCAACCUCGGAAUAGCAUUUGAAACUGGCAGACUAGAGUACUGUAGAGGGGGGUAGAAUUUCAGGUGUAGCGGUGAAAUGCGUAGAGAUCUGAAGGAAUACCGGUGGCGAAGGCGGCCCCCUGGACAGAUACUGACACUCAGAUGCGAAAGCGUGGGGAGCAAACAGGAUUAGAUACCCUGGUAGUCCACGCCGUAAACGAUGUCUACUUGGAGGUUGUGGCCUUGAGCCGUGGCUUUCGGAGCUAACGCGUUAAGUAGACCGCCUGGGGAGUACGGUCGCAAGAUUAAAACUCAAAUGAAUUGACGGGGGCCCGCACAAGCGGUGGAGCAUGUGGUUUAAUUCGAUGCAACGCGAAGAACCUUACCUACUCUUGACAUCCAGAGAACUUUCCAGAGAUGGAUUGGUGCCUUCGGGAACUCUGAGACAGGUGCUGCAUGGCUGU